rnacentral:rRNA from 1 species
CCUACGGGAGGCAGCAGUGAGGAAUAUUGGACAAUGGAGGCAACUCUGAUCCAGCCAUGCCGCGUGCAGGAAGACUGCCCUAUGGGUUGUAAACUGCUUUUAUACAGGAAGAAAUAUUCCUACGUGUAGGUAUUUGACGGUACUGUAAGAAUAAGGAUCGGCUAACUCCGUGCCAGCAGCCGCGGUAAUACGGAGGAUCCAAGCGUUAUCCGGAAUCAUUGGGUUUAAAGGGUCCGUAGGCGGUCUUUUAAGUCAGAGGUGAAAUCCUACAGCUCAACUGUAGAAUUGCCUUUGAUACUGAAGGACUUGAGUUAUUGUGAAGUAAUUAGAAUGUGUGGUGUAGCGGUGAAAUGCAUAGAUAUCACACAGAAUACCGAUUGCGAAGGCAGAUCACUAACAAUAUACUGACGCUGAGGGACGAAAGCGUGGGUAGCGAACAGGAUUAGAUACCCUGGUUAG